UACGGUGGGGGCAAGCGUUGUUCGGAAUUACUGGGCGUAAAGGGCUUGUAGGCGGCCAACUAAGUCCGACGUGAAAUCCCCAGGCUUAACCUGGGAACUGCGUCGGAUACUGGAUGGCUUGAAUUCGGGAGAGGGAUGCAGAAUUCCAGGUGUAGCGGUGAAAUGCGUAGAUAUCUGGAGGAAUACCGGUGGCGAAGGCGGCAUCCUGGACCGACAUUGACGCUGAUGAGCGAAAGCUAGGGGAGCAAACGGG
rnacentral:rRNA from 1 species